rnacentral:rRNA from 1 species
AGCGAACGCUGGCGGCAGGCCUAACACAUGCAAGUCGAACGAACUCUUCGGAGUUAGUGGCGGACGGGUGAGUAACACGUGGGAACGUGCCUUUAGGUUCGGAAUAACUCAGGGAAACUUGUGCUAAUACCGAAUGUGCCCCCCGAUUCAUUUUGGGGUGGGAAAGAUUUAUCGCCUUUAGAGCGGCCCGCGUCUGAUUAGCUAGUUGGUGAGGUAAAGGCUCACCAAGGCGACGAUCAGUAGCUGGUCUGAGAGGAUGAUCAGCCACAUUGGGACUGAGACACGGCCCAAACUCCUACGGGAGGCAGCAGUGGGGAAUCUUGCGCAAUGGGCGAAAGCCUGACGCAGCCAUGCCGCGUGAAUGAUGAAGGUCUUAGGAUUGUAAAAUUCUUUCACCGGGGACGAUAAUGACGGUACCCGGAGAAGAAGCCCCGGCUAACUUCGUGCCAGCAGCCGCGGUAAUACGAAGGGGGCUAGCGUUGCUCGGAAUUACUGGGCGUAAAGGGAGCGUAGGCGGACAUUUAAGUCAGGGGUGAAAUCCCGGGGCUCAACUUAGGAAUUGCAUUCGAUACUGGGAAGCUAGAGUAUGGGAGAGGAUGGUAGAAUUCCAGGUGUAGCGGUGAAAUGCGUAGAGAUCUGGAGGAAUACCGAUGGCGAAGGCAGCCAUCUGGCCUAAUACUGACGCUGAGGUACGAAAGCAUGGGGAGCAAACAGG